rnacentral:rRNA from 1 species
CUUGUCUCAAAGAUUAAGCCAUGCAUGUCUUAGCAUGAGCCGAAUUAUGGUGAAGCCGCGAAUGGCUCAUUACAACAGCCGUUGUUUCUUGGAUCUUGUUUUACUUGGAUAACUGUGGUAAUUCUAGAGCUAAUACAUGCAACCAAGCUCCGACCUUUGGAAGGAGCGCAUUUAUUAGACCAAGACCAAUCAGGCUUUGCCUGGAAUCUGGUGACUCUGAAUAACUUUGCUGAUCACACGGUCCUAGCACCGGUGACAUUUCUUUCAAGUGUCUGCCCUAUCAACUUUCGAUGGUAGUUUAUGUGCCUA